UUAAUUGAAGAGUUUGAUCAUGGCUCAGAUUGAACGCUGGCGGCAGGCUUAACACAUGCAAGUCGAGCGGUAGCACAGGGGAGCUUGCUCCCUGGGUGACGAGCGGCGGACGGGUGAGUAAUGUCUGGGAAACUGCCUGAUGGAGGGGGAUAACUACUGGAAACGGUAGCUAAUACCGCAUAACGUCGCAAGACCAAAGAGGGGGACCUUCGGGCCUC
rnacentral:rRNA from 3 species